CGAAGGGCCAAGUGAGCUUUUCCCAUCACUUUGCGUCCGGCGUCCGUCGUCCGUCGUCUGUCGUCCGUCGUCCGGCGUCGUUAACUUUUACAAAAAUCUUCUCCUCUGAAACUACUGGGCCAAAUUGAACCAAACUUGGCCACAAUCAUCAUUGGGGUAUCUAGUUUAAAAAAUGUGUGGCGUGACCCGGUCAACCAACCAAGAUGGCCGCCACGGCUAAAAAUAGAACAUAGGGGUAAAAUGCAGUUUUUGGCUUAUAACUCAAAAACCAAAGCAUUUAGAGGAAAUCUGACAUGGGGUAAAUAUGUUUAUCAGGUCAAGAUCUAUCUGCCCUGAAAUUUUCAGAUGAAUCGGUCAACCCGUUGUUGGGUUGCUGCCCCUGAAUUGGUCAUUUUGAGGAAAUUUUUUGCUGUUUUUGGUUUAUUAUCUUGAAUAUUAUUAUAGAUAGAGAUAAAUUGUAAACAGCAAUAAUGUUCGGCAAAGUUAGAUUUACAAAUAAGUCAACAUGACCGAAAUGGUCAGUUGACCCCUUUAGGAGUUAUUGCCCUCUAUAGUCAAUUUUUAACCAUUUUUCAUAAAUAUAAGUAAUCUUUUACAAAAAUCUUCUCCUCUGAAACUACUGGGCCAAAUUAAUCCAAACUUGGCC
rnacentral:lncRNA from 1 species